rnacentral:sRNA from 1 species
GUGAGCUACCAUGGCGAUGUCCUCUAUGACAAGUACAUCAGGCCUGAGAUGCCCAUCGCUGACUACCGUACCCGCUGGAGUGGCAUCACUCGGCAGCACAUGCGCAAGGCUGUCCCCUUCCAGGUGGCCCAGAAAGAGGUAAGGGCAGGGAUAGGGACUUGUUUGGGAGGUGUGGUGGGCUGGAAAGAGCCACCCUGGGUUUGAAUCACCACUUUGCUUCACUGGGGGCAAGAAACCUUGGGAAAGUCACCUAACUGCUCCAAACAGUAGGUUCCUUCUCCAUAGAACAGGGGAAAUAAAAAUAAAAUCCUGACCUUGCCUCCAGAUAAGGAUUGCUGGCCUGUUGCACAGGGCAAUGUAGAAAGGCUACACCAACUGUAAGGUGAUAAAUAGCUUACGUUUUAGAGUUUGCUUUCUGUUAUAAAAGUUGUACGCAUUGAUAUAAAAUUUGUAAAGCCCACAGUGGCAUCACGUUCAGGUAUGGAUGUUAUGGCAUAUUUCCUUAUGUUAGUUUCUUAGUGCUUAGAAAAAAUUAAUUAGUGGUUGGGACCACACUGAUGCACCAGGAAUUCCCAAACAUGCUUGACCUUAGAAACACCUAAGGCCUUUUUAACAAUCUAGGAUCCUUAUCCCCAGUUUCCUCCAUAGAGUUCCUGAUCCAUUAGGCUUGGGAAGGGCUCUGACCCAUGUUCCAAAAAAUCAUCACACUGUGCAGACUUGCACCAUAAAGCCACAGGGCUUAAGGGGAAAUGGAGAAAGGGAACAGUAUUAAAAAGGCCAUCAGUGACACCCCAAAAAUAAGAUAGAAACCUAAUAAAAAGGUAGUCCAGUUUUACGCAUCUUGUUUCUUUUUUUUUUUUUUUUUCUUAUUCCACACAUCUUAAAUGGUUAAGAAAUGCACAAUACACCAAUAAGUAUGGUACUUUACCUUGAAAAAGACCUGAACUUGCUUGUGGAAACAGGAGUCAGAAAGGUUGCAGCUUGAGUUUCUGUGAAGUGGUUGAAGGAGAGUUCUUUGAAGUCAGACAGGAAGUGUGACACCAGCUGUGGAUGGGUGUGGCUCAUCACACAGGUGAACCAGGGUUGCUGGGAGAUGUUUGGGCUGUGUGCAUAUUGUGUAUGCCCUCUUGGCUUAGUUCAGUUGGAUGCAGUUUUCUGCGUUCAUUCAGUGUUUCUCAAGGAUGAAAUUAUGCAUAAGCAAAGGUGAAAUUUGCAUUGUUCUCAAAAUGUGUCAUACAUCAAUUGCAUUGAGAAAUCUGCAUUUUCUAAACAAGCCUUGUAACAGAACCACUUUUUAACACUUCUGGGUUAUUCUUGGGAUUAGGCAAGGUUGGGAAAUACUGGUGUACACUAUCUCGUGUCCUACUUUUUCACAUAACAUUGUGGCCCGAGCAUUCCUUUGAAAUGAUUGGAGGUUAUUUUAUGUAUCAAGCAGGCCAAUCAGUAAGAGUAGCAACAAGAGGGGAGGUGUGUGGUGAACCCUCCAGCUCCUUGGUCCCUUCCAUUGACCUGGUUGGUGGUGGUCCCAAGAGCAGGACCACUUUUUGUCUGCCCAGACUGAGCCACUGUGGGGUGUGCUUCAUCUCUUUCCACUUCAUGGCUGACUUGGGGGGAGGGGCAGUGUGGUGAGUGACCAGCAUGGUGGCAUGUCCCUACUAUAAAGUCUCAAUGCACCUUAUCCAUCUGCCAUGAAAGCUGGGUUUAGGGAUAAACAUAUGUUGCCAGCAGAGGUAGGCUGUGGAGGCCCGCAGCUGGUGAUAAGGAGAGCCCAAGCCCAGCUAAGAGGGCUAGAGGGGGUUGCUGGCCCAUGGCCCUGGGCGUGGCCUCCCUGGUGUAUGAGGAGGGCCACCCAGCAGGGAAGGGAGGUACACAUUGUGCAGGCAGCCAGAGCUGAGCAAGAGAGCAGGUUAAGAGGGUGAGGAGGAGUUGGUACACAGCAGGGCAAGGGGGCAGAGUCCUGAAGACAGGGAUUAUGGCCCUUAAUGCUCAUAAGAGCUGCUGCUAUGGUGUGUCUACCAGUGACAGGCACGGUUCUGUUGACUUCACCCAGCUGGUCUUUAUUGAUCACCUCCUGUGAUAAGUAAAUAAUCAAUAAAUGUAAUGCUUUCUACUACAGGAAAAAGGCAUUUUUAAAAAAAGAAUAAAUGUGACGCUUUCCUUGGAGCAUCACUAAGAAGUCCAUCUUGGUCCCUGCACUCACAGACCUUACAGUGCGGUGGGGGAGAGUUGGGUGGAGUGGGAGGCCUGGUGACGUCUUCCAGGCUGAGAGGAGAGCCAACGCCAGCAAUAGAGUUGCUUGUAUCUGGUAACAGGAAGACUUCCAUCCAUGACCUCGUUUAGUCCUUAGAGCCACCCCACGGAAUGCUGCUGGCAGUGUUCCCCUUUGACAGGUGCAGAAGACAUAGGUAUGCCCCUGGGUAUAGACAGUAGAAGGGUCUGGGUUCAGACUUGGGGCAGCAUGGUUGACUGUGGAGCUCGUGAUCUCCCCACUCGGUGCUGCCUCCCUCCACAGGGAUCCAUGCACCUAUUGGCCAGGGAUUCUCAGGGCGUGUCUCCUGCCAACCUGACGGGGUGUGGGGUGACCUCCCUGACUCCUCUUUCUGCUCACAGAUCCUUAAGCUCCUGAAGGGCAAGGUGGUGGUGGGGCACGCGCUGCACAACGACUUCCAGGCGCUCAAGUAUGUCCACCCUCGGAGCCAGACCCGGGAUACCACCUAUGUCCCAAACUUCCUCAGCGAGCCCGGCCUCCACACCCGGGCCCGGGUCUCUCUAAAGGACCUGGCCCUGCAGCUGCUGCACAAGAAGAUCCAGGUGGGCCAGCACGGGCACUCAUCAGUAGAAGAUGCCACGACAGCCAUGGAGCUCUACCGGCUGGUGGAGGUGCAGUGGGAACAGCAGGAGGCCCGCAGCCUCUGGACCUGCCCCGAGGACAGAGAACCUGACAGCAGCACAGACAUGGAACAGUACAUGGAGGACCAGUACUGGCCCGAUGACCUGGCCCACGGCAGCAGAGGAGGAGCCAGGGAGGCACAGGACAGAAGGAAUUGAGAAGGGGGCGGGGCUCCCUGGCUGGGCUUCCGGUGUGGCCGGUAGGAAGUGGGGGCCAGGAGAGCAGCGGGCACUCCUUCCUGGGCAGGGUGGGGCAGGAUGCAGUGAGCCAGCCCCAGGGCCAGAGGAGUUGGGGUCAUCUGUUACCUUGACACCCUCUGCUCACAGCAUAGCCCUCUCUCUCUCCAGGGCUGUUGGUUCUUUCUCCUGACUCCUGUGGUUUUGCUAAUGGCACUUUACAGACUCCAUGGAGAUGUCAGGUGGACCAUCUUCUAGGGCCCAGCAGGAGUAGGGAAUGUGCCAACAGACUGCCCAGGUUGCAGUGGCCUUCCCCACCCCCCAGAUCUCCUGAGUCAUCAUGCUGUGCUAAUGAAAGGGAUCAUAUCAUCCUCUCUGGGGAUGGUGGGUGGGGGUGUCAAUAUCCUGGAGCUCCCUUACCCCAACUCAGUGACUUGGGGUAAAGUUCUCUUCCUUUUGUUGCCUACCUCUUCCUCCACUCAUUUGGGUUCAGAAUAAACAUGCCCUGAAGUUAAAGAGGAGUUAAGUCCUAAAGGAGGCAUUUCUUCCCCACCUCCCUGACCUGGAACUCUGGCUACAGCCAUUGUAGGAACUCCGUGCCUGGCCUGUCAGCUCCCUGCUAGGCUACAGUGGAAUAGCAGAGCCCACAGGCUUCUCGUGGGGAGUUGGCUCCUUAACAUUCUUGGCAACAGAAAGCCCCAGGCACAGCUCAGGGAGGAGGGAAGGCAGGUAAGCUUUGGACGAGAACUGGCAUAUUUAUUUUGACCCAAAUCAGGGAUUUCCCCAGUCCACCCAGUACUGGGCUCUUAAGCAAAAGUCUGAGAAACAAGACAGUGGUUUGAAUUCUGGGGCCUUUGUGUAGGAUUGUGCCUGACCUUUAUUUAUUUAUUAAGAGCAGGGCCACUCGUCUAGGGGAGUGGAGUCUGCGUGUCUCCUGGGGCUGGGGCAGGGCAUUGGCAGUUAUGCAGUGGCCCUGAACCUGGUCUGGUGCCCCCGAACCUGGUCUGGUGCCCCCUCAGCUCUUUGACAAUCACUGUGGCUGUUGGGUUUUCUCCUAUUUCUAAAAAUUUUCUCUUCUUUCCUAAGUGACAGUUUUGAAGUAUUGGAUAACCAAGAGCUCAGGUCACACAGACCUUGGAGCCCCAUCUUUGCUUGCAGCUUAGCUUUGAGAUACUAAGCAAGCGAGGGACUUCGCUCUUGAGCCUGUUUUUUCCUCAUCUGUAAAAUGGGGAUAGUGGUACAGCCUACCUCAUAGGGUUGUAAUGAGCACUAAAUGUGAAGUGCUUGGCACAGUGCCUGGCACAUGGUGAGCCACAGCUACUGUGAGCUUCUGUUUAUCCCCCUUUUUUUUUUAAGCCCAAAAAAGGGCCACAACAUUGUUUAUUCUUUGAGAAUUUGUUGUAACUUCUUCAGGAUAACACCUGAGUCCACAGGCUGAGCAGCUGUGGCCCAGACAGAACUGCUCCGGCUUGGCUGUUCCAGCAGGUGGGGCGCUGGCCUCGGUGAGGGCACAGCAGCAAGGUUCACGGAUAUCCGUGUGUCUUGUCUGUGGCCACCAGGCACAGGUUUGGCUUCCGGUCAGUGUCCCGACACUGUGCGGGAGGUGACAACAGAGCAAAGCAGCACAGGGGUCAGGGAGGUAGAGACACUGCUGAAAUCACACUACCCCACCCUCAGCUGAAGCCCCACGUUCCACAAACUUGGGGUCAUAGAUUGUCCAGUCACUGGCUCCCUCCCUGUCAGCACAGCACAGAGGAAGGGGCUAACUGAAUCUUUUACCACUUCUGGCCUGGCUCCAGAACUUUGUUCUAGAUUCCUUAAAAGUCGGUAGCUGAUGUCAAACUCAAUUGAGCAGUAGCUUUGAUCCCUUGGUCUGGGGGUCGAAGGAAGAUGGCGCUGUUAUCAGCGGGGAAAUGUACUAUUUAAGAUCAGCUUUGUUGUAAAACCAUUUGUUCUAGAAUAAAACUCAAUUGGAAAAGUG